rnacentral:lncRNA from 1 species
GGUUAUGAGCUGAAAAAUUCCUUGACUUUCAAUUAUGAUAGUCGUGGGCUAUCUUAUUUGUUGGUUGUGUUCAUUCAGCUUCCUAUAUUUGUUAUUGGUACAGGUUUGGUCACUUGGUUGAUCUAUAUGCUUGGAAUCCACAUUGUAGAUACUUGGAUGGAAUUGGUCCUCCAGGUUCUGGUAUGUACAAAUGCAACACCAUUGAUAAGAAUUAUAUGCUUCUAUGACUGAAAAAAAAAAGCAGAACAAAUGGAUUAAAUUAUUAAAACACCAAGUGGAAGUAUCACAAAUGGUUCCUAAAAUUUUAAAAACUACUGUUUUGUAGUUGCACUAAAUAGGACCAUUGCUUGCAUGACUUCACUCUUGUUCACUAAGCACAUCUUCCUUGAUACUUAUACCUUUUAUUCAGAUGUUCAUGCAAUUCUUUUAGGUGUUUUGUACAUAAAGAGAAUUGCUUAUGUGGAACAUUUGUAUUCUUCUAUAUACAUUUUUUAUUGUCAUAUUGCUUGUCUUUUCCUAUUGAACAUUAUUUAGUUUGCUUACUUAUUAAUAUCCUUCAUAGUUUACUCACUUUGGCCAUAUAAAUAAUAAUAAUAUCUUGUUUUGAACCGUACACAAGGUGGUCCGUUAUUUUAUUCCUUUAGCUUAGCCAUGAAAAAUCAAGGUUCACGUUUGAUAUUAAUCUCUUCUGACUUUGCUCCUUAAUUUUUUUAUCAGUUUUUGUAAAAUAAUUUAUCUUUGUCCUACAAAUCCCAAUUUAAAAUUGAUGUAACUUUACAUAUGAAAGUGGAUCCCAAAAUGAUUAAGUAGUGAUUGGAUUUUGGCAUGUGUAUGAUGCGUUUUAAAUUACUUUAAGAUGGCUUCAUUCACAUUGGAAGAAAGGGAUGUGUCAAAAUUAAUUAAGACAUCUGUUAUUAGUAUACUACAGGACAAGUAGAGAGAUAAGUGCUUUUUAUGCUAACAUUGUUGGAGUACAAGUGUGAGGUGAAGUCCCACAUUGGGUAGAAGUAGAAAAGUUGAGUACCAUAUAAAUGAGAAGAAGACCCAUAAACCUGAGUUCCCUUAUGUGAUGACUCGUGGUCCACCGGUGUGAAUCUCCCUGGUGUUUACUCCCCUCAAAUCUCCCCAACAACUGGUAUCAGAGCCGAUAAGCAUCAUUUCCAAUUCGGCUACAAACCAAAACUAAAGAUAUUAUUUAUAAUGAGAUUCUUCUUAACAACUUUUUUAAUGUCCUUCUUAAUUUCCCUCUCCCCUUUUACAUAGAAAUAAAAACCAUGAAAUCUACUCGUGUGUUUCUCGUCGCCUUUGUACGUGUCCAGACUACUUUACCUUGAUUUUCUGCUUUCCCCCCCUUAAAUUAGUGCAAUAUCAAUAUUAUAUGAUAAAACUUGCUCUUGAGCUUUGAUAGGUACUAUGCAACCACAAAUAACCUCAAAUACUUUUCUCCAUUUUUGUUAUCCUGUUUAUAUCUUCUGUGUGACAUCUUUAUUAAUUUCCUCGUCAUUUUGUAGUAUUGAUCCCAAAUAUUUAAACUAAGAAACUGGUGGCAUGACAUCUCCCAAUUUUACUUCAAGUCAUAUUCCUCUUGCCUCUUACAAAAAUUGCAAUAAUAUACUUUGUUUUACUCCUACUUAAGCGAGAAUCCUUUGUUUUUAAAGUUUUCUUCAAAGCUCAAGUUUAAAGUUAACAACUUUCCUUAAUUCAAAACUAUAUCAUCCACAAAAAACAUGCAAUCAGGGAUAAUCUUUUGUAUGUCCCUAGUAAGCACACCCAAGACUAAAUUAAAGAAAUAAGGACUUAAGGUUGAGCCUUGGUGUACGCCUACCCCUGUCGAGAAGUUCUUAGUCUCGUCUCCUGGAGUUAUCACACUAGUAGUUUCCCUAUCAUGCCUGACUUAUAUAGUUCAGAUGUAAGUCACAGAAACACCUUUCUUUUCCAAAGUCUUUCUAUUUGUGACCUUGAACUCCCUUCUUAAGUGAUUUAAUGUUCCUCCUCCUUCUUGAAACAAGUGUUCAUAAUCCUAAAAUCGUAAGUAAUAGAGAAAUCAAGAAUAAACUGUCAUUCCUUAUUUACUUCUCUAAAACUAGAACCACCAUGGGCUUCUAUAAAUUGCCUUGUCUCACUACGAAUAUGUUCUUUUAGAUCCCUUCCUGAGAAAAUCUUUUCUUCUUGGGGAGUUCCUUGAACCAAUCCCACCAAAUUUUCCCAAUACUUUUCUUUAUAAGUGCUUGUAAUCCUACUUGUGAUGCUUAAGUACUGAUGAUGUUGGUGGUCUCCUAUGCAACCAGUAAUUUUAAGGCUAACAUUGUGUCCAAUUCAUCUUGCAUCCCCUAGACUAUUUCUAAUACUUGUCUGCAAUAAUACCACACCAUUCUUUUCUCUAAUUUAAAUCCUAUAGUACCUAACUCCUUGGUCUCUUGUAGGCACAUAAUGUUACUCCUCCUUUGAAUUAUGGAUCUGCCACCUUCAUGAACUUACCUGUCAAAGUCCCAGUAUUCUAAGUAGCAAAAAGCUUUGAACUUCUUUAUCCACAUCCAUUCAAGAAAUUGUGAGGACUCUUGACCAUUUAACACUAUAUCCGAGCACUUUAUGUCCUGACUCUAAAUCAUUUGACUUUGUAUUCAAGCCAUACAAUGCCUUACUUAAUCGAGUAACUUUUGAAUUUAAUCUCUUAUGAGAAUCAUGAAUUAAGUUUAUGUUGGUAAAUUCUGUACAAGGAAUUGUUAAGACACUUUGUUGGUCAAUUAAAGCUCGUUUUGUGGUCAAAUGUGAUAUGAUAAGAUAAAAUAUAAGAGCAGUAUAAGAACUUUAAAAGAUAAAAGUAGGAUAAGCUUUAAUACUAUUCAAUGUUACACCAUCAUAUAGACUAGAUAACGAUAGGUGGUGGUUGUGUCGGCAACGAUAACCGUGAUAAUAGCGGUGACAAUAAUAAUAACGAUGGUGGUGGCGAUGAUGGUAUUGAUGGUGGUGAUAAUGGUGGCAAUGGCGAUAGCGGCGACAAUGAAGGCAACAACAAUGACGGUGGUGGUGGCGGCGACGAUGGUGGCGACAAUGGUAGGAGUGACAACGCCAGUGAUGGUGGUGUGAUGGUUGUCAUGGUGGAGAAGCGAUGAUGGUGGUGAAGAUGGUGAUGAUGGUGGUGGCGAUGAUGACAGUGAUAGUGAUGGGGUUGGUGAGGGCAACUAUCCUAUUCUGUUGCUCUCUAACCAAUUCACCCCCUCAGGAUAAGAAAUACACUGCAUCAUUAAGAUAGAGUAGGAAAUAGGGUAAGGAAAUCAUAUCCUACUAGUGCACCAAACAAUUUAUUACAACAGCCUAAGAUAGUUAUCCUAUCCUAUUAUACCAUAUUCUAACUACCAAACAACAAAAUUUCCAUUGCUUCAUAAGUUUUGAAUAGAAUGACAAUGCAUCUCUUUUUUAAAGAGUUAGAAAUCUGUAAGGAAAGACAUUUUCCCCAAGGCAAUUAAUUUUUUCUUUUAUGUAUUAUGACUUGCCGUGUUGUGGGUUAUAUAUAAUAUUGUUUUCAACCCCUUCAUUUUGUUGAUACUUGAUCACUUCUAAGUUAUAUUAUAGACUGACCCUUUUUCUGUUGUCAGCUAAUGAUUCAAGUGCGCAGAAUGACUGGAAAGGUGCUUGGUGGCAUAGCAGCUUCACAGUUCACUCAGGUGUCUGAUUCAUUUAUUUAUAGAUCAAAAAAUAAUAUGUCAUAUCAAUUAACUGUAGUUGGAGGCUGAAUCCAGACUGAAAUUUUGGUUGGUAGUGACAGGAAUCUCAAAACAAUAUUUUCUGAGCAGUAGUUAAAAUGUGUUUCCUUAUAUAUCUAUAUACUACUUAUGAAGUGAAUGGUUCGUAUAUGAGAUCAAAGCAUGCCUUGUACUAAGCUUCAUUUAUAAAUUUUGUUUUAAGAUAUGUCAACAUGACUUCAAAAUUUUUCAUAUAUGUUAGUGCCAGUUGCUUUCAAUUAUAUAUAAAUGGUGCCAUCUUGGAGGGUUAAUCCCCCACUAAGUGCCAAAAGUUCAGUGAUCCAUUAAAGGACAACCCGCUUUGUUUCUUAUGGCUUCUUGCCUUACAAUUUUUUUUUAAGAGUAAUUCAUUUUUCAUCCUCCAUAGUUUCAAGCCUUGUCACUUUAGUCUCUCAAUUAUUCAAGGUAUCAUCAAAUCGAUCCUUCUUUGAUGAUAUUUUGCUUGAUCAAGAGACUAAAUUGAUGAUAUUUUGUAUUGUUUAGGGACUAAUUGAUGUUUGAAAUAUUUGGAGUGUCAAAGUGAUGACUCUUAGCACUGUUGAGGGAUUAAUUUGAUGAUAAAAAUCUUGAGGAUCAAAUUGACGACACUUAUUUGCUUGGAGGACAAAAGUAGGGAUUUACUCUAUUUUUUUAUGUUAAAGCAUAUUUUGGAUUCUAUAUUUCUAGUGCAUGAGUGUUGUCAAAUACUGAGUCAUUGACUCAAUUAGGUGCGGAGUCACCGUUUCAAAAAGUAAUUGAUUUACUGGUUGAACCAUAUGUAUGUGUAAUUAAUCUGAUAAUAGGAACAUUAUAACUAACAUGGAGUUCUGGUGAAAUGGUUUAUGUUAAUUGAGCUGUUAAUUAUUAGGUUGUAGGUUAAAAUUAUUAGCUCAUAGAUUCAAAUUUUGUCUGGAACUUUACACUAAAUGUUUUACAAAACCAGUAAAAAUCAUUAACUUCAUACUAGUUCAUACUGGUUGCAACUUGCAACCUUGUGUAUGCAAUAUGAACAUCUGCCUCAAAUACAGUACCUUAAAUUUGAUCUCUCUGCUUUGUUUUGCACUGUCAUUUAGUUAGUUUGCAUUUUUAUUUUCUCAUAUUGGUACUCACAUGCUUCUCUGUAACAGGAUUCGUAGAGGAUGAGAGUCCAUAUGCAGAUAAUGGAAAAAAGGGCACAUACUUUUUUGAAUUCUCGAGGUCUUUGAGGACUAUGGAUCAUCUUCAACAGGUUGGAACUUAGAAAGUAAUUUGAUAUUCAUAAGUUUUAUAGGCUAAGAGUUUGCAUUGAUUUUUUCAGAUUUUUUUCCCAAUUAGCUGAAUUUUUUGUUCACAAGUUCUUUUUCGAUUAAUUUUUGGGAUCAUUUGUAAAUCUAAUGGAUUGUGGAUGAAAAAACAUAUGAAAUUAUUUAUCAAUUUUAAUCAAUGUUGGCGUAGAGUACCCCAAGUCAUGUGAUAAACAUUCCUUUUUAACUAGGUCUCUGUGUUGUUUGUUGUUGAAACAAGUUUGACUUUUGAACUUGUACUGGAUUGUUUGUAUUACCUUGUUUCCCAAUGCAAACUUGCCUUCUGAAUGUAUAUUUCUUAACCAUGGCCAAAAGCUUAAAACAAACAAGAUUGAGAUCACUAACUCUUUUUUCUUGUAUUUUGUUUGGGGUGGGGGCAUGGAUGAAAAAGAUCUUUUCAAAUAUAAUAAAUGUGAUUGUAGGGAUCUUCUGAAUCACGUGGUUUUUGUUUUAACAUGUGGUUAUUGUGUUUAUCUUUGAGUUUCUUCCUAUCCAGGGACUCAUCUUGUAGCUUGAAACUAAAUAUAUUUUUGUUUUAGUAGCAUUGUACCAAAUAGUAAAUAUAUUCCUGAAUAUCAUUUAUAAGAUAACAAGCAAGUAAAAUGAUGUAAAAUAAUACCUUGCAGGACGUGCAAUUUAACAUUGGUGGAUCCAGUAAGAUGUCUGUUGCAUUCUGGUAUCCAGUAGAUGGUCAACCUUGGCAUGGUUCUGGGCACUACUCUGUUUACUGUGAUUGGGUUCCCAUUGACAUAUCUGUUGGUAAA